UGCAGUGCGGAGGAGAGAAGGCUCAUUCGACGAGAUGAAGGAAAAAUCCAUUAAUCCACGGCCAGGUUAAUAAAACGAUCUCAAAACUUCGUAACCAAUGCCUUAAAACCGGGAAAAAUAGGACGAUUGCCAACGAAGUUGGGAAUAGUGUGUCAUCACGGACCGUUCGGCGACGAUUGGCAAUAGGAAACCUACCAGGGUAGGAUUGCUCCCAAGGUUCCUUCGCUUCGGUCGGCAAAUUUACAGAUGGCGACAAAAUGUUUACUAGAUCGUAGAACCUGGUGCGGACCGGAGGGAAUGUUCGUCGUCCGAAAGGCAAAGAAUUUGAUCCCAGGUACACAUGUAAAGCUGUGAAACAUGGAGGUGGUAACCUAAUGGUAUGCGGCUGCUUUUGCGUGGUAUGGUGUUGGUCCGAUUCAUCGUAUUGACGGAAUAAUGGACUGAUUCGUAUACAAAGAUCUAUAGAAGACGGUGAUGCUACCAUAUGCCGAGGAUAAUAUGCCAAGUUUUAUGGAAGUUCCAGCAGGAUAAUGACCCGAAGCACGCCUCUCGAGUAGUAAAGGAUUGGUUCCGAGAGAAAAGUGUGGAUGUUCUUGGGUGGCCAAGUCAAUCCCCGGAACUUAAUCCCAUCGAGAAUCUCUGGGGUGAACUCAAAAGAGAGGUCGGAAAGACUUUUUGUCAGAAUAAUAAUCAACUUUGGGAUAUUGUCCAAAAAGCAUGGUACAACAUUCCAAUUGGAACUUGUCUCAAGUUAAUAUCCUCCAUGCCAAGACGAAUGGAGAAAGUCCUGCAAAAUAAUGGCGGAUAUACCGGGUAUUAGCUGCCAGAUACUCAAUUUAAUUUAAAGCAAGACCUAAAAUAGUGAAAUAUCGAUUUAAUUUAAACAUUUUUCUUCGUACACCUAUUAUUAUAUCCAGACAAAA